CACAUUACAACAGACCCAAGUGGAUCCAGGACAAAACGGGCCCAAUUGGCCCAGCUUGUUACACCAAGGCAUGAAACCCUAGGGUUUCUGCCUUUCUCCUUGCGCCGCAAACAGAAGGUUCCAGAAGCCAAGCCUCAUGACUCUUCAGCUCCUGCUGUUCCAACUACCCCGUCAAGGCCAUGAUUCCAGGCUCCAAGUCACGCCGAGAUCAACGCCACCAGUGGACCAUUGUCAGGCCUUUGCCAUUGCCUAAUUUUUCGCAAGUACCUGCAAGAAAAGGAAAGAAAAUCACAGCAGACAUGUGAAGCAAAUACGGAAAGAAAUCGAUGAUUUCUUUCCAAAACUUGUAGUAGUAGAGGCUAUAAAGCCUUCUUUUUAAUCUGUAAAAACACACGGCGGGAGAGAGACCCAAUAGCAGAAAUACACCCACACAAAAGCAGAGAGAAGAAUAGUAGGGAAUCAAAAAACAAAGAGUUUUUAGAAGCAAAGAGAAACAAAAAAAGAAGGUAUAGGGAUUUACCGAAUAGAAUAGCACGAACCAUUGUAAUCCUUUUGAAACAGCGAAAUAAAAAGCGAAUCUCGUUUUUCAAAGGUAAUCGAAUCGUUUUUUUUAAUUUUAUCUGGUCAUUUACUAACAUGCACACACGCAGAUCUAAAAAAAUAGAAACUAAAAACAGAGGGAGAAGGUUGAUACCUGAGAAUUGGCAAAGAAAAUGGAGGGUUUUUGAAACCCUAACCACCGUAUACAGUGGCUCUGGUGGCGGCUCAUUAAGCGCGUGGAGACCACGCACGCCAGACCCUGGGACGAGCCAGGACGGCCAUGAGGCCGGAGCUCCGAGGGUUGGAGCCCUUUUUUCAGAGGUUUUUUUUAUUUUUUUAAAAAGGAGUUACAGAAUGAUUUUAUUCGGGCAAAAUGGGAUUUAUAUGGGGUCCAAAAUCCGACCCGAUCCGAUCCGAAAGUCCGCGUGUUUUACCGCUAUAGUGGGACAUUUAUUCCCUUGGUCCUUCCGUAUUUUUAGAUUAUUUAAUUUCAUCUGAAACAAAUCUCGUCUUAUUUAAAAUUGGCCCAAAUCUUCUGUUUUCAUUAUAAUUUAGUCCUCUGUUCUUUAAAAAGCUAACCCUGAGAGCGACACCGUUUCAGGGACUAGGGUUAUUUACUCAGUGAGUCCCUGAGCUUUUAGCGUGCAUUCCAAAUUAAUCCAAAUUGUUUUUUAUUUUUUUUAAAAUUAGCCCUAAUAUUCUAUCUAGUUUUAAUUUUAAUCCUUACUUAUUAUCUAUUAUUUUAAUCCUUAAUUCAGUUUUAUUCCUUUCAAAAUUUGCCCCAUAAUUUUGUUAAACUUUAAAUUUAGUCCUAUAUUUAUUAUAUUAUUUCUAUAUAUAUAUUAUUUGUUUAUUUUAAUUUUACUUUUAUAUUAUAUAUUAUAAAAUUAUUUUAUUACAAGUAUUCUUUUUAAUUAUAUAUUAUUAUUACUUAUUAUAUAUAUAUAUUAUUUUCCUUAAAUUAUUAUUUUACAUCUCUUUCAUAUAUUAUUAUAUUUUCACAUAUAUUAUAUUUAUUAAUUACUUAUAUAUAUAUUGUUUAUACGUUACUUUAUAUUAUAUCUAUUAUUUUUCUUAUAUGUUUAUAUUACAUUUUAUUAUAUAAUCUUUAUUAUGUUUUAUUUUUAUAUUAUUUAUUGUUUUUUUAUAUAUAUAUGUUACGUAUAUCAUGUAUCACAAAUUAUAUUAUUUUAUAUCUCUAUUAUUUUAUGAUUAUUAUUAUUAAAUCAUAUUUUUUAACUCACAUUAUACACACAUUUCAUUUUUUAUUUAUUUACUAUAUAUGUAUUAUUUCAUUUUAAACUAAUAUUGUUAUAUUAUGAAAUCUCUUACAUACUUUCAAACCAAUAUAUUAUUAUAUAAUUAUUAUUCUUUUUAUUAUGUAAUUAUAUUAUAUAUUAGAUACUAUUUUAAAAUGGAAAUGAAAUAUCUCGUUUUUAAUUGUAUGUAUAUUUUGUUAGCAAUCAAUCAUUUUUUAUUAGUUCUUCUAUAUGUUUUGUAUUGUAUGUAUCAUGCAUGUGUUAAAUUUUUUAUAAUUAUAUGCAUAUUGACAUUACAUUUAUUCUAUUUGUAUAUCAUGAAUUAUUUGAUUAUGUUUGUUUUUAUAUCAUGCAUCAUUUAAAUAUUAUCUCAUAUGAUUAUAUAUCUUAUUUAUUCAUACUAUAUAUCUUUGUUUGCAUUUUUUUUGCUUUAUAUGUAUUAUUCUUUAUAUUGUAGUAUUCAUUUUUUAUUUACCUAGUACAAUAAUAUAUUAUUAUGAUUUAUAAUGCAAUACAAUUCUCCAUGCAUCAUUUUUAAAAAGACAAGUCUCCAAAAUUUUCAAAAAAUAUAAAGGCAAUACUUGGUGUUUGGAAAUUUCAAAAAGUAGUGCCCUAACUUAUUGGGUUGCAACUUUUCUCGUCAAGUUCGAAUAGUCAAGUACCCUUCUAAAGUUUUUAAAGGAUUUCAAAAUAUAAGUGACUGUCUUGGAAUUGCAAAGUGAUAUGUCCUAACUUACUGGAUGUAGCAUUCUGCUGUUUUGAGAUAGAGAUUUCUAAAGGCUAACCUAUAGUCGAUACUUUGAUACAAGUAAACCCAAAUUUUCAAAUACUUUAAAGAGGAUUACAUCUUAAAAUUUUUAAUUUCCGACAUUAGAGACAUUUUGAUAAUCAAUUAGGUACCAAUUUUUGGGCGUUACGAGGGUGCUAACCCUUCCUCGUGCGUAACCGACUCCCGAACCCAUUUUUUGAUUUCGUAGACCAAAACCAACAAUUUUAAAACAAAUGUUUAAAAGGUGAUCGAAUCACACCUAAAAAGAUUGGUGGCGACUCCCGUUUUCAUUUUUCUUAAAGUCGAUUCCCAUUUUCCAAAACUCGAUUUGAAAAUGGUUUCGACAGCUUGGCGACUCUACUGGGGACUAAUAAGAGAGUCAAGCCGUGUAAUUGAUUAUCUCUUGUCUUAAUGUCGGUAAUUAAAAAUUUUAAAAUUUAAUCUUCUUUGCAUUACAUGUGUUUGUGUUCUUGCAUGUGUUGCUAUAUUCUAAUACGCAUUGCAUUUGCAUGACUGUUGUGGUCACACCCUUAAGUGGGAGUGAGAAGCUACGCCUUCGUGAGGUUUUCGCCUCCGUGCAGGAUAGUGGAUCACUUUCGGGAUACAUCCGUACCUAUGGUUUCGUGAGAUUUUCAUCUCCAUGUAGCCAUAGGGAAAUGUGUCCCCCUGAACUGAACUCGAUUCAAAUGAGCCUAUAAUGGGUGAGGAUCGAGGAAUCUGCUGGUUCAGGUACCUCAACUUUAGAACUAAACCACAUAUAGAAGGAUCGUAAGAGCUCAACCUAGAUAGAAUUAUACCGUAAUUAUUACCCUUGUAGGUUAUCUUUGAGUUUAUUGUUAUCAUGUGAUACUAACUAUCUCCUUUCUUUUGUUGCAUAUCAUUUCGCAUUUAAAAGGUAUCGAUUUUCGGUCAGUUUCUAAGUUAGAGAGCUUUAUUAUGGAGAACGAUCUUCUUGAUAGAGUGGAAGACAACGCUAACGUCCAUAUAUGGUCAGAGCAAACUCAGUUAGUAAAGGAAAAUAGUCUAGCCAUGCGAUAUGUGUCAGAGCUGUCAGACUACAUUCGUAUCACAUAGGAUAAUCAGCAUGAGUUAAAGGAAAUAUGGGAUCAAUGGGGUAGCGAAGCCAAGCAGUUGUUCUACAACAACCAUUGGGACUUGCAGUACUUGCUUGACUUGGGAACAGACGAGAAUUUGUUUCGGGCUAUCACUCAGUAUUGGAAUCUUGUAUACAGUUGCUUUACAUUUGGAAAAGCCUAUAUGGUACCCGUGGUGGAGGAAUAUUCAAUUUUGUGGCGUUAUCCUAUGACUCAAGUUGAUAAAGUUUACUCAAGGGCUAACUAUAUUCCAACCUUUGUGAGGAAUUUGAUGAAUGUCAUAGGGAGAGGGAGUGAGCUAAAAUGGAAAGAGCAGGAGGGAAAAGGGGCAGUCUUGGAAUUCCUGCCUCUUCUGCCACUAGUGCGUCUUAAUGUUGUUUCCAAUCAAAGUAGAAUUGGAUACGAAGAAGAUUGUUCGAAACCCUAUGGCAAGGCGUGCUGCAGGGCAAAAGGUAAUGUACUCACCAAUCAUUUUAAGGUGAACAAGAAGAGUAUUGAUGGACAUUUCCACCAUUACAACAUUUCUCUUUCAUAGGGAUGGUCGAUGGUAAGAGUGUUGGAAGAAAAGUGAUUGACAGAAUGCGUGAACCUACAAAGGUGAGUUGGAUGGAAAGAAUUGUGCCUAUGAUGGUAAAAGGCUUAUUUAUUAUAGGACCAAACCAAGCAUGAGUUCACUAUGUUGCACUUAUCAGAGAUAAUGGAAAUGCAAGCCCUGAUGAUCUGUCAAAAUGGACGUAAAAGAAUGAGAUUAAAGAAGUCCAUAUCAUUUAAAAGACCUUUAAAGUAGAGAUUAACUAUGCUGAGAAGAUACCCAUCUAAGCAUUUCAAAAUGCUUUGCGUGGACAAGAAUCUGAAAGCUCUCAAGAAACCCUAAAUGUGUUGAAUAUCAUUUUAAGGUAGCAUGUUAAGCAGGAAUGCCCACUUGUUUUCCAAUCUUUCUUUCAAGAUAAUCAGAACAACUUCACAGAAGAGGUGUCCAUAGAUGUAGGGAUUAUCUUAUGGGUGAAGCCAUAGCUCAAAUUAGGGAUGGUAGUAGAUCAUUUACGGACCAUGAAGGUACAAGCUGAUACAUUGAGCACAGUCAGAUCAUUGUCAAGAGUUAGCUUUGUUGAGUUAAAACUUUGGGCCAUAGGACGAAGGCGUAUUUGUAAUCCAUUCAUAUGUAAAGAUAUUCUUUUUCUAAAUAAAGUUUUCUAAAUGAAAUUAAGUCGAGAUCGAUACCUUUUUGCAUUCAUGCAUUUGUAUUACAUCACAUCGCAUUAUAUGCAUUUAAAUUAUAAAAAGACCAUAAUUAGUUAAAGUUAUUAAAAAAGAAAGAAAAGGAGAGAGAGAGAGAAGAGGGUCAUGGCUAAGUGAAAAAGAGACGUUCCCUUACAUAUCCCUGACUUUUGUGUCAAGAGGGAUAGCUUACCCAGAGAAGGGGGUGUUUGGAAAUGAAAAUAAUCCCAUCAAUGUCAUACAUGAGGAAGGGACUGAACAAAGAAACCUUGAGGGCAUUCGCCCUUACGAACCAGGAAGUUCUUUAAACAGUUGGACUGCAGAAGAACUUCCUGUAAUCUUUAGGAAUUUUACGGAGUAAUAUUCAGAACACUCUUGUUGCUCUAAAGCCUAGGAGUAAUGAGAUUUCUUUUGAGAAGUGGGCUCAUGUUCAGACAUUUUUGUUUUCAAUAAAACAUACUUUUAUUAUUUAUCCGAGUAAAUAUUCUUCCAUUCUGAUUCUUUUGACCUUUGACAUUCUUUAUAAAUUUUCAUUUCAUGUAAAUAGUCAUUUUUGAAUUCAUUUAUUCCUUGUAUAUUCUUUUGUGUGCCUAUCAUAGAUCCCUAGAUAUCAAUGACAUGGGCAAUGAUACUAUAGAUUCAGAGUUCCUUUUGAGUGCGAUAUGUGUUUAGAAAAAUCUCAGUACUUUGAAGGUGACAGAAAUUGUGACUUGUUUUUGAAUUUGUUGAAAAUGGUUUUUACCCCAUGAAGUGGUGGUAGGAAAUAUAGCCUUAGAGGAAGGAAAGAUUGCGAAAUUGGAAUUAGCUGAGGAGACAAAACAAGACCUUGUUGAGACUAUUAUGGGAAUUCAAAAAAUAUGGUCUAAAGACGCAUGCAGGAGGAUUUGCAAUUGCCAGGAUAAACAUGAGGGUUUGGGGCACUGUUGGUCCACCAUGGAAAGGGAUUGCAUCAGUUGUACAAUGAAUGCCAAAUUUAAAGGAGUAAAGACUUAUGGGGCAUGUAUGUUAUGGGCCCGAGCUCAUCAAAAGUUUCAAGCUGACAAUGACUCAUCUUUGUAGAUGUUAACUACUCCAUUAAGAGGGGGAGAUAGCUUCAUAUGCCAAUAUUACAAAGUCAAAAGUCAUCUAUUUCAAAAAAAGAAGAAGCAAAAAGAUAAUAUAUAACUGCAUAAUGCCAAAAGUUUGCAGUCUUUUCAAAGAUAAUGCGCCAUACCACAGUACAACAAAGGUUGCCAAAAGAAAAGAAAAAGAAGAAAAAACAAAUUACAAAAGAUGACCGAGACUGGUAAAAAUUGGCAUAAGAAACUACCGCCUACUCUCUAUGCUUACGCUAGGGCAAACACCUUCAAUUCCAGUUGUUUCAAAGGUUCCAACCAUCAUCCUUGGAAUGGGUGCAUUGUUUGGCUUUCCUGAGCAGUCUGAUGUGCCGUCAAUAGCUGCGAUGGUUAGCUCCAGGCGGUGGCCAUUGAUUUUUAGCUAUGGGGCAUCUGGCCGUACACAGUCUCUGAAGCUUAAAAUGAUAGAUUCUUUCUUCAAAACCAGUUUCUGACAAAGUUGAUGACGGUAUCAUAAAGGAAGCUCUCUUAGACUUCUAUACAAGUUCAGAGAAGAGGAAACCUGAUCAAAUCAUUAUUUUCAGGGAGAGGGUUAGCGAGUCUCAAUUCAAUCAAGUUUUGAUCAAGUUAUUGAGGCUUGCAAGUUCCUUGGCGAGAAGUGGAACCCUAAAGAUUGUGGUUAUUAUUGUACGAAAAACCAUCAUACCAAAUUUUUUUUCAGCAGGGAUCUCCUGACAAUUUGCUACAUGGUACUGUCAUUGACAACAAAGUAUGCCAUCCAAAGAACAAUGAUUUUUACCUUGAUACCCAUGCUGGAAUGAUUGGAAUCACGAGGCAGACCCACUAUCAUGUUCUCUUAGACCAGGCUGGGUUUUCGGCUGAUGAUCUGCAAGAGUUUGUUCAUUCUCUAUCCUACAUGUAUCAAAUGAACACUACAGCCAUAUUUGUUGUGCCUCCUAUUUGCUACGCUCAUUUGGCAGCUUCACAGUUGGGGGCAAUUUAUGAAGAUUAGGGAUGCUUUAGAAACAUCAUCGAGUCAUGGUGGGAUGUAUGCUCCAGGAGUAAUCUCUGUACCUCAGCUUUCCAGGUUGAAGGAUAAAGUCAGCAAUUUCAUUCUUGUCUGCUGAGAAUCAUUGAACCAUAUUUUUGUAGGGUUUGACAAACAACAGCCAGGACGGCUGCUGGGGUAAUCCCUUUCUCAUGGGUUUAUGAAUCAAGAUUUUUCCUCCAAGCUUUGAUGGAGUCAAGAAUUGAAUACCUCUAGUAAACUUAACUUGAAAAUAUUCAUCCUAAGCAAAUGUACCAAGAAUGGAUGACACAGAUUUAUGACAAAGAAGGUUCGUCCAAAAGAAUCUCAUAAAGGAAACCUUGCAAAAGGAUGCCGAAUUGGGAAGGGCCAUAUGUUACGAAGAGGGCUUUCUCUAGAGGUGUAUUGAUUUUGACAAGAAAUGGAUAGGAAGAAUUUAUCUGAUCCAGUGAAUUCGGACUCAGUCAAAGAGUAUUUUGUUUGAAGGAGAAGAGAAGCCAAGGUGAAAACCCGCAAAGGGCACUUUGGGACUUCUAUUUCAAAAAAAAAAAGAAAAAGAAAAGAAAAAGAGAAAAAAGUAAAGAGAAAAAAGAAAAAGAUGGAGAGGCCAAGGUGAAAACCCGCAAAGGGCGCCUUGAGACCAAAGGGGUUUUGAGUAAAGGGCAGCUCAAAUUUGGAAAGUCAUGCAGUGACCUUGCUAUACCGGAUUCGACGAGAAGUGAAGUAUGUUACAUAUCGAGGCAUCAACGAAUUACUUUGGAUCUUUUAAACACAUGUUGAACUCAAGAAAGUCUUCAUGGAGCUGGUGUAUAGACGCUCAAGCGGCGAUAUCUGGGGCAUCUGAUUUUUUGUCCUGUUUACUAUCUUUGGAUUCUCUUUCUUCUCAAAGAUAGAUUCCUAGAUUAACCUCUUUUAUCUUUUUGAUAAAUCAUUAUCCUCAAGAUCAAUUUAUUCGUCCCAUUAUUCAUAAAGUGUGUUGCAUAGAAAUAAUGAUUGAUGAACUAAAUAUCUUUACAAACGAAGUUUUGCAUAUUACUCUGGAAAUUUCUAGAUAAUACAAGAAACUGAAACAAGUCAAUUGUUUAAAGAAUUUCCAUAUUUGAGGGUCGGAUGUACUCGGGGAAAUUUCUUCUUCAGUCCAAAAGGUGGUGGGACAUUUUAAAUUGAUCUUAAGAAAGGAUCAGUUCAUAAACAUCUCCAGCGGGUCACAACAUUUGGAGAAUGGCACAAUAGGACUAAGUUGAUUCAAAGCAUACAAGUAGAGUAUAAUUGAUACAUCAAGAAGUAUAAAGUUAAAACUUCGAUGAGGGAAUGAGUGAUGACGCUCGAAAUAAGGGUCAUAUUCAUAAUAUUUUGCAUUAUAACAUGACUAAUUAGGAGAAUUUGACUCACUUCGAUCAUAGGCAUGAACUCAUACGCAUUCUACAGGUUAUGUCUUUUAUUGGACAAUGUAGAUCAAAGAAACAAGAUUUGGCAUCCCUAUGUUUAUAGGGAACAGAUCAAAGAUAGUAGAUCUGACAUUCCUGUGUUUACAGUGAAGCAGAUUGAAGAUUUCAGCAUGGCAUCCCUGUGUUUAUAGGGAACAAGUUGAAGAUAGCAGAUUUGGCAUCCCUGUGUUUAUAGGGAACAGAUCGAAGAUAGCAGAUCUAACCUUCAGAUGUUUAUACUGAAGCAGAUCCAAGAUGAUUUGGCAUUCUUGUGUUUACAAGGAACAAAUCGAGGACAUAGUAGAUUUGACUCUCAGACGUUCUCAAAGAUAGCAGAUCUAACCUUCAGAUGUUUAUACUGAAGCAGAUCCAAGAUGAUUUGGCAUUCUUGUGUUUACAAGGAAUAAAUCGAGGACAUAGCAGAUUUGACUCUCAGGCGUUCUCAAAUAUAGUAGAUCUAACCUUCAAAUGUUUAUACUGAAGCAGAUCCAAGAUAAUUUGGUAUUCUUGUGUUUACAAGGAACAAAUCGAGGACAUAGCAGAUUUGACUCUCAGAUGUUCUCAAAUAUAACAGAUCUAACCUUCAGAUGUUUAUACUGAAGCAGAUCCAAGAUGAUUUGGUAUUCUUGUGUUUACAAGAAACAAAUCAAGGACAUAGCAGAUUUGACUCUCAGACGUUCUCAAAUAUAGCAGAUCUAACCUUCAGAUGUUUAUACUGAAGCAGAUCCAAGAUGGUUUGGCAUCCUUGUGCUUACAAGGAACAAAUCGAGGACAUUGCAGAUAUGACUCUCAAAUAUUCUCAAACAGACUCAAGAUGGUUUGGCAUCCUUGUGCUUACAAGGAACAAAUUGAGGAUAUUGCAGAUAUGACUCUCAAAUGUUCUCAAACAGACUCAAGAUGGUUUGGCAUCCUUGUGCUUACAAGGAACAAAGCGAGGACCUUGCAGACAUGACUUUCAAAUGUUCUCAAACAGACUCAAGAUGGUUUAGGCAUCCUUGUGCUUACAAAGGAAAAAAAUGAGGACGUAACAGAUAUGAUUCUCAAAAGUUCUCAAAUAGAUCAAGAUGAUUUGGCAUAUCUACAAAUCGAAGAAGCAAAUUUUGCGGGGAGCAGAUUGAAAAUUCAAGGUUCGGCGAGCCCGGGCAAAAUUGGCUCUUUUAUAUCUUUGCUUUAUUCCUGUUAUAUAGCAAUGAGCAAAGAGGUGCAGCUGUAAUACCUCAAUUUUGCCCAGCCCAUUGGAAGCCAAGGCAAAAUCCAAAAUUUCAAAAUAUAAAGUCUCUUAACAGUCUUUUACCCAACUACAAAAGCCUAAACGGCAGGCCCAAAUACAAGAGACCUUACCCAGUUACAAUAACCAGCAGGCCCACUAUUACAUCCUACCCAGAUACACUAAAACUAAGACCCAUUACAACAGGCCCAAGUAGACCCAGGACAAAACGGGCCCAAGUGGCCCAGCUUGUUACACCAAGGCAUGAAACCCUAGGGUUUCUGCCUUUCUCCUUGCGCCGCAAACAGAAGGUUCCAGAAGCCAAGCCUCAUGACUCUUCAGCUCCUACUGUUCCAGCUACCCCGUCAAGGCCAUGAUUCCAGGCCCCAAGUCACGCGAGAUCAACGCCACCAGUGGACCAUCGUCAGGCCUUUGCCAUUGCUGGAUUUUUCGCAAGUACCUGCAAGAAAAGGAAAGCAAAUCACAGUAGACAUGCGAAGCAAAUACGGAAAGAAAUUGAUGAUUUCUUUCCAAAACUUGUAGUAGUAGAGGCUAUAAAGCCUUCUUUUUAAUCUGUAAAAACACACGGCGGGAGAGAGACCCGAUAGCAGAAAUACACCCACACAAAAGCAGAGAGAAGAAUAGUAGGGAAUCAAAAAACAAAGAGUUUUUAGAAGCAAAGAGAAACAAAAAAAGAAGGUAUAGGGAUUUACCGAAUAGAAUAGCACGAACCAUUGUAAUCCUUUUGAAACAGCGAAAUAAAAAGCGAAUCUCGUUUUUCAAAGGUAAUCAAAUCGUUUUUUUAAUUUUAUCUGGUCAUUUACUAACAUGCACACACGCAGAUCUAAAAAAAUAGAAACUAAAAACAGAGGGAGAAGGUUGAUACUUGAGAAUCGGCAAAGAAAAGGGAGGGUUUUUGAAACCCUAACCACCGUAUACGGUGGCUCUGGUGGUGGCUCAUUAAGCGCGUGGAGACCACGCACGCCAGACCUUGGGACGAGCCA
rnacentral:lncRNA from 1 species